CUGCGGCAGCAGUUGCUGCCAGGAGGCAACAUGGAGCUGCACACCGAAGAGACAGGGACACUGCUCUGGGGGCCGUGAAAGGCGAACGGGGGCAGGGAGCAGUCGGGCCUGGGGGCACCUGGCCCCAAGUAUUGCUGGAGCUGGGCCCCUGGCUCUGAAUAUUGCUGGUGCCCGAGCACCACGUGGAUAUGGAACUCGCUGCCUAUGAAAACAGGGAAAUUCAGUGGUUGAAACUCUGGGCCAAGUUCUUAGCAUGUGUAAACAGACAACUUUCCACUGAAACCAAAGGGGCUGUACCUAUUUGCGUUAAACAAGAAAUUGGCCUCCUGAUAUCUCUCAUCCCAUCGGUGCUUAGGAAAACUUGAUACCUCGGUGUUACAUUACAUUCCUACAUUUAUCUAGAAAUCUCAGAUGGGACAGGAAAAGAUAUUGAAGGUGCAAGAGACCAUAAAAGAACAUUUGUUUUAACUGCUCUCCUUAUUGAGUUCUGGAUUGUCACUGAACGGUGACUACAGUACCAUUACACUGGGAAAUGGGUGGCACCUUCCUCCGCCGCAGCCUAUGACACUUCUCUGGCACCAGAGUGAACAAAUACAAUGAUGUUUCUGAUCUACUCAACGGCAUUAGGGGAGUGUUAUGAGCAGAAGCAUCAUGGCAGCAAGGGUCACUAUAGGUUCCAGGAACUUUACACAAGUUAAUAGAACCACACAGCUGAAUGAGGGCUUUGUGAGGAGAUCCAGGUCCCAGCCUGUACACCCACUUAAGCCCAUGGACUUCCUCAAAGAUACGAACACCAGAGUUACGGACUUACCGGUCAGCCAGGCACCCUGUGAAACCAGAAGUCCUCAAUCAGGCAGCAGUGCAGACAAAAAAAAAGAAGCAAAUACUGUACAGCCUAGUAGCUGGGAUAUCACAGAAUUAUGCAUUCCUGAGCAUCACAGUGGAGCAGACCAGAAGGUGCCAAGGACACAAUGGAGGAUGAAGUGCUAGAAACUCCUGGAAACACCAGAAAAUACUGGAAAACUCCUGAACUACUGGAGACUCAGGGACUGAGAGGCAAAGCAAGACUGAAGACCCACUGAUGUGGAAACAGUCGGUGCUGGUCCCUAUGUCUUCAGUAUUGGACUCAACAGACCCCCCAAGGCCGGAACUGGAGUUGAUGAUAUGGGCUCUCACUGAUCUCAGCGGGGUACUGGUAAGUGGUUGGAUGGCCCUGUUCCAUCCACAUGUAGGAAGGAGUCUGGUGCUGUCAGUACUCCCCGUAGAAGAUGAGGAAGAGUCUAGCCGAACCAGAGAGUGGUCCUGAUUAGUCUUACGGGACUUCUUCCUCACCACAUGAGAGGGAGAAUGAAUCCUCCUCCUCUUGGGGGAAAUUGCAGGAUCUGAACAUGGUGCAGCAUCACUUGCCAGUUCCACAGGCGACCACCAAUCACAUGAGGGCCUCAGUGCCAAAGCUGAUCUCAGGGCCUGCUUCGGAAGGUACUGCUUCAGCCAUAAGUCUCUCAACACUUCACUCUGAUAUUUACUGUGAAGGUUCCCGAAACUGACAGAGGGAAGCCAACACAAAAUUUAUCCUCCUCAAGAUCCACUGGAUCCAAGUCCAUAAGAUCAUCACCUGCAAACUCAAUCAUGUGAAGCAUGGAUAGCGCAUGAAGCAGAAAACGGCGUGCACACUAAAAUACACAGUUGUACGUAUGUACAGAUCAAAAGAAGAACGAACACACUAACAUACGAGUGUGAGCUUGGUAGGAUUGCUUCACAACAUUGCCAUCUCCGACCUCACAUUUUCCCUGAUUUUAUUGGCAGUGAGAUUUAUUUAUUUAAAUAAAUUAUGAAGACAUGGUCAGAAUUUUACCAGUAGCAGCUGGCCAACGAAAUGCUGCCUUAGGAGACUGAUAGCAGACUUACUCAUAGAAAUAAUAAUUUUACAAGUGCAAUUAUUGUUUUUUCCCCUCAGCCCUGGCCUCUUGCCUGUCAAUAAUGAACAAUUAGUGAAGGGUAAGGGUAUUUGUGUGGCCAGAUGUGCAUAUUUUUGUCAUAUUUGAAUGAAAAUGUCUAUAUUUAGAAUCUUCUUUUUCCCAGGUCUCCUUUAUUUAUCAAAAUCAGUUGAUAAAAUUUGAAAUGGAGUCCGUUUUUUAUUUUUUAGAGGCCCCUCAUAUUGUGAGACCCUAAGUUAUAGCUUAGAUAGCUUAUACCUUAAUCCAGCACUGUUCUGACUGCUAGUUACCUGAAAGUGUGCAGGAAUCUUCUGCAUGUCUAGCACCACCACCACCAAGCAUUUUCCAUUGCAGAGAUAUUCGCUGGGACUUCACAUAUCCUUAGCCUAUGUUUCACUAUAAUACUGUCUCUUGCUCCAACUGACUUUAUUUUGGUAAGCUUUGCUUUCCCUAGAGUUGAAUGUGAAAGAUGCCAUACACUCACAGUCACAGUAUCCCUCAUCGUCUACCUUCUGGCUAUCACGAUUAUAUUGGAGAGUAGAACCACACUUAUGGGGCUCAUGAAUUUUUACCAACCAUGUCUAUUUUCUUCACAUUUAAAAAAAAGGUGACAGACACAGAAAUGAGAUUCAGGUCCCUUUUUGCUUAUGCUACACACAUGCAGUUUGUAAAUACAAACAGAAAACUGAAGAGGUGUAACCAUGUGGGUCAGAUGGAGGAAAAAAUUAAUUCUAAUAUGUGGGCAAAUGACUAACUGAAUGUGCACUAGUAAAUGUGUACAUUUACUGUAACAGUGCAAAGCCAAAGUAACUGCGCAUGCACUCCCCAGUAAAACCUGUCCUAUAAUUCUCUGUUACAGAUUUACAGAUUUCCCACUGCCAGAGGCCUCUGAUAGUCUUCACAAGGCAGUGUAUACUAUUAAAUAAUAGUAGAGAUGUUUCGUUGAAGUCCCAGAAGUCCAGAAAAGGUGUUACAGCCCUGACUGAGUUCCUCCUUUUGGUUGAAUCAAACUCUUUGAUCCCAUGUACAUUUAAGCCUACUGGGUUGGAGCAGGUACAUUCCUGGGGAACAGACGUCCUCUCAAAUACCCCACCCUGGCAUGUGGCACCAUGCAGUCCAACUGCACUAAGUUACAAGAUCAGUGCAACACCCCUCCCUCCCAGAGAGUCUCUUCAACUGCUUAAACAUGCCGUCCCCAGAGCUCCAUCCUCCUAAGUACUCUGGUUUUACUGUGUAACCCUUAGGGAAUCUUAUGAUAGGCAAACAAGGGAAUAUACAGACUUUAUGAAGGAACUUCUUAAAUCAGACACUACACUUUUCUCAGACAAAGCAAAGGAGUUACAGAUCUAUGGAAAAAUGAACAUCUGCAUGCAAAUCGCCUCCCUCCAUUGUCCUCACUACUAAGAGCCUGUUGGUUUUGUUUAAUAUACUUUCAGGGUUCCAGGGCCCUUCUGCACCCCACUCCUCCUGUUCAGUCAUCCUGUAGUCAGCCAAUGGCUGGCUGGCAAGAUUGCUCCUCCCACAGCUCAAGGGGAUCUGGCCCACUCUCUCAGAAAACCUUCUGAAAAACCUACAAAUCAACCAUUUUCAAACAGCUCUGAACCAGACAUACACAUUAUUUAAAUAUUAAAAAUGUCAACAUAUUUUGUUUUUUCAUCUCCUAUCCUCACCACCCAAAAAGUAUGUUUUACAAAAGCAAUAGAAAAUGAGCUAGGAUGCAAUCAUUGCUUUUUUUGGGGGGGGGAGAGGGGAGAAGGGUGCUGCUAGAAAUAAAAUUUUUCUAGCCCCAUAAUGCACCUGAAGAAUCUGGAGGCCAGAAGUCAAUAGGAGUUGCAAGGGGCAAGUACCUCAUGGGUAGAUCAGGCCCUGAGAUGGCACAGCUAUAGAUACAGCAUUUUCCAUUCAUGUUUAUUUGCUCCAGAAUUCUAAUCUGUCAAUGGAUUAUUUUUGGAGAGGGGAUUUGGCUCUUCCAGGUGUCUUUUGUCCAAUCCCAAAAUGCCAUUUCCAGAUAAUAGUGUGGGCAUUUAACAAUUGGUUAUUUAUUCCAUGGUUGGAGGGCACCACCUUGGCAGGAGUGCGAAGCUGUAAAGACAUUACAGCCAAAGGCCUCUGGACACUUUCAAAUACAAGACAACCAAUAAAGAUGGCAAUAUGCUCCAAUAUCUUCCCUGAGUAAGAAACGGAGGAAACCAUACCAAGCAUAAACCAAACAAACCCCCCAGAUCAGGGCCUAUGCUAGCCUCCCCAAAAGGGUCAGGUCUAUAUUACCUAACCCAAGUUGCAUACCCGGCAGAGGUAUAGGAUUCUCUUUCAGAGUAAAGAAUCAGUCAGGUUUCUAAUGUGAGUUUAGACUCUUUGCUGCAGAUCUUGAGGAAAGUCCAGUUAUUUUCUUUCAUGUGUUCUCAUACCUUAACUAUGUCAGUGUCAGUUUUGUGAAUAAGUUUAAACUGAUGACAAUUGAUGUAAUGUUUAACUAGUGUGGAUUACAUCCCAGGAAUUUGUUUUAAUAUAAAAACAUUAAACUACAAUUCAGACAUUAAUUCCAUGAAGGCAACAUUGUACUAGUGCAGAUAAGAUCUGGAAACACAGGCAGACUUCUGUAUGGAUAUGCAAUUAUGUAAGAUAAAGAGGAAGACAUCUGCUGUAAAUCAGUCUGUUUAUUUUCACUUGAAAGCCUCAAGGUAGAGGACUGUUUCUCAUAAUCCCCUUCUCCUGUCUCUUCAAAGGAUCAUGUUUAAAGGUUUAAAUAUUCUCAACCCUAAAUGAACAUUGUUUACAAGUGUCUUCUGAAUUAUAAUUCGUUUCAGAUUACCUAAACAGUUCUACAGCAAGCCUAUCAUUGUUUAAUAUAUAUUGUAAGCUUGUUAUGACAAUUCAUUUCACGGUUAUGUUUCGAGUGCAUUGUUUGUAGAGAAUAAAUGAAAAGGGAUAAUGAAGAUUAAGAACUGCAUUUAAGGCAAAGACUGUGUCAUCAUUCCACAAAUGAAUUUCAACUCCAAUAUUUUGCCCCUGAUAUCAAUAGGCAUCAUGCACACAGGGAGAGCAGAACACAGGAGACCAAAUCCACCAUACAGUUUGGAGAAUGCCAUUUUAAAUGUAUAAGCCUGGCAAGACAGGAAAGCCAGAAAGGGACCCGGGUGUCAUUAUAGACAACUCAAUAAAGACUUAAGUAAAAUCCUGCUCAUACUGACAUCAAGGUCUAUACUCCGAGAGCUUUCAGUGACUAGGAAGACUGGGUCCUAAAUCAGAAUCUGCUUAUACAAGACUCUGAUAUCGGUAAAGAAAAUAAAACUAACUUUCUAAAGUUAGCCUUUGUGAGUCAUUUAUCAUAGGACCUUCAAAUCCUAAUGUGAUACUACAUCAGCUUGGGUCUUUCGUUCAGUUCAUGGGACCGUGACAAGUUCAGUUACAUAGUUCAUUCUAUCAUUCAGACCUUAGGAGGAAUGUUGCUGUUAUUUUUCAAAGCCUUAGUUCUAUAAAAACUUACAGU